GGGAGAGAGAGACAGAGAGCGACAGGGUUAGGUCGGUGGGAGAGAGACAGAGAGCGACAGGGUUAGGUCGCUGGGAGAGAGAGACAGAGAGCGAUAGGGUUAGGUCGGUGGGAGAGAGACAGGGUUAGGUCGGUGGGAGAGAGCGACAGGGUUAGGUCGGUGGGAGAGAGCGACAGGGUUAGGUCGGUGGGAGAGAGACAGGGUUAGGUCGGUGGGAGAGAGACAGGGUUAGGUCGGUGGGAGAGAGACAGGGUUAGGUCGGUGGGAGAGAGACAGGGUUAGGUCGGUGGGAGAGAGACAGGGUUAGGUCGGUGGGAGAGAGAGACAGAGAGCGACAGGGUUAGGUCGGUGGGAGAGAGAGACAGAGAGCGACAGGGUUAGGUCGGUGG